UCCCGCUUGACGCGGGCAGUCCCCUAAGACACAUAUAACUUAGGGCGAGGGUUGCGCUCGUUCGCGGACUUAACCGAACACCUCAAGGCACGAGCUGACGACGGCCAUGCAGCACCUGUCUCCGAGUUCCUUGCGGCACUCCUCCAUUUCUGGUGGAUUCUCGGGAUGUCAAGCCUUGGUGAGGUUCCCCGUUUACCAUCGAAUUAAACAACAUGCUCCACCGCUUGUGUGGGUCCCCGUCUAUUCCUUUAUGUUUUAGCCUUGCGGCCGUACUUCACAGGCGGAAUACUUAACGCGUUAGCUACGGCACUGGUAGGAUCGACUACCAACACCUAGUAUUCAUCGUUUACGGCGUGGACUAC
rnacentral:misc_RNA from 1 species